AGAGUUUGAUCAUGGCUCAGAUUGAACGCUGGCGGCAGGCCUAACACAUGCAAGUCGAGCGGUAGCACAGAGAGCUUGCUCUCGGGUGACGAGCGGCGGACGGGUGAGUAAUGUCUGGGAAACUGCCUGAUGGAGGGGGAUAACUACUGGAAACGGUAGCUAAUACCGCAUAACGUCGCAAGACCAAAGUGGGGGACCUUCGGGCCUCAUGCCAUCAGAUGUGCCCAGAUGGGAUUAGCUAGUAGGUGGGGUAAUGGCUCACCUAGGCGACGAUCCCUAGCUGGUCUGAGAGGAUGACCAGCCACACUGGAACUGAGACACGGUCCAGACUCCUACGGGAGGCAGCAGUGGGGAAUAUUGCACAAUGGGCGCAAGCCUGAUGCAGCCAUGCCGCGUGUGUGAAGAAGGCCUUCGGGUUGUAAAGCACUUUCAGCGGGGAGGAAGGCGGUAAGGUUAAUAACCUUGUCGAUUGACGUUACCCGCAGAAGAAGCACCGGCUAACUCCGUGCCAGCAGCCGCGGUAAUACGGAGGGUGCAAGCGUUAAUCGGAAUUACUGGGCGUAAAGCGCACGCAGGCGGUCUGUCAAGUCGGAUGUGAAAUCCCCGGGCUCAACCUGGGAACUGCAUUCGAAACUGGCAGGCUAGAGUCUUGUAGAGGGGGGUAGAAUUCCAGGUGUAGCGGUGAAAUGCGUAGAGAUCUGGAGGAAUACCGGUGGCGAAGGCGGCCCCCUGGACAAAGACUGACGCUCAGGUGCGAAAGCGUGGGGAGCAAACAGGAUUAGAUACCCUGGUAGUCCACGCCGUAAACGAUGUCGAUUUGGAGGUUGUGCCCUUGAGGCGUGGCUUCCGGAGCUAACGCGUUAAAUCGACCGCCUGGGGAGUACGGCCGCAAGGUUAAAACUCAAAUGAAUUGACGGGGGCCCGCACAAGCGGUGGAGCAUGUGGUUUAAUUCGAUGCAACGCGAAGAACCUUACCUGGUCUUGACAUCCACAGAACUUUCCAGAGAUGGAUUGGUGCCUUCGGGAACUGUGAGACAGGUGCUGCAUGGCUGUCGUCAGCUCGUGUUGUGAAAUGUUGGGUUAAGUCCCGCAACGAGCGCAACCCUUAUCCUUUGUUGCCAGCGGU
rnacentral:rRNA from 1 species